rnacentral:rRNA from 1 species
UACGGGGGGGGUAAGCGUUGUUCGGAAUUACUGGGCGUAAAGGGCUCGUAGGCGGCCAACUAAGUCAGACGUGAAAUCCCCCGGCUUAACCGGGGAACUGGCGGAGAUACGACCGUCCUGGAGGGGCGUAGGGGGACCUGGAACUUCCGGUGGAGCGGUGAAAUGCGUUGAGAUCGGAAGGAACGCCCGUGGCGAAAGCGAGGUCCUGGACGCCUACUGACGCUGAGACGCGAAAGCCAGGGGAGCGAACGGG